rnacentral:rRNA from 1 species
UGGGGAAUCUUGCGCAAUGGGCGAAAGCCUGACGCAGCAACGCCGCGUGAGCGAAGAAGGCCUUCGGGUUGUAAAGCUCUGUCAGGGGGAAAGAAGGCACCUGGGUUAAUAGCCCAAGGGCUGACGGUACCCCCAAAGGAAGCCACGGCUAACUACGUGCCAGCAGCCGCGGUAAUACGUAGGUGGCGAGCGUUGUCCGGAAUCAUUGGGCGUAAAGAGCGCGUAGGUGGCUUGUCAGGUCCGAUGUGAAAACCUGGGGCUCAACUCCAGGCCUGCAUCGGAAACCGGCUUGCUAGAGUCUGGGAGAGGAGAGUGGAAUUCCUGGUGUAGCGGUGAAAUGCGUAGAUAUCAGGAGGAACACCGGUAGCGAAGGCGGCUCUCUGGAACAGUACUGACGCUGAGGCGCGAAAGCUAGGGGAGCGAACA